rnacentral:rRNA from 1 species
GAGUUUGAUCGUGGCUCAGGACGAACGCUGGCGGCGUGCCUAAUACAUGCAAGUCGAGCGAGUCUCUUCGGAGGCUAGCGGUGGACGGGUGAGUAACACGUAGGCAACCUGCCUCUCAGACCGGGAUAACAUAGGGGAAACUUAUGCUAAUACCGGAUAGGUUUUUGGAUUGCAUGAUCCGAAAAGAAAGAUGGCUUUCGCUAUCACUGGGAGAUGGGCCUGCGGCGCAUUAGCUAGUUGGUGGGGUAACGCCUACCAAGGCGACGAUGCGUAGCCGACCUGAGAGGGUGACCGGCACACUGGGACUGAGACACGGCCCAGACUCCUACGGGAGGCAGCAGUAGGGAAUUUUCCACAAUGGACGAAAGUCU